UGCUGCUGCUGGAAACCAGAGUCUUCUUUUGUUUUCCCUCUCACCUCUGGCUGCCUCUCUCUCCCCUCAAAGGUCAGAGCAGUGCCAAGGACAGAAGAGAGAGUAGAUCCAGCCUUGGCCCUGCUAGGCUGGGCAGCCUGGCAGGUAGAGUCAGCAGGGAUAGAGCUUGCUUUCCUGUUCACGAUCUUCAGCCAAGUUCAGGGAGGUCUGAAUACUGAGGCCUUCAUAGCCACUGCACCCCAGGUAGCUCAGGAGAACCUCCGAGCGCAGGAGUGCAAAGGCUGGCAUUCUUCAGGCUCUGAGGCUGUCCCUUCCGGUGGAGGUGAACUGCUUCUUAUUGAUGUGGACAAGACUGUGGAUGGAGACUGACAGGAUCCUGGCUUGGGGGCCUUCCGGCAGGGCUGGCUGCUGGGCUGGCAGGCUCUGGCGCUCCCCUUCCCCAGAACUGACUUUGUUCCUGGCAGCCAUGGUGGCUGCACUAACCACAUUCUGCCUCCACCUUUGCACUAAGAAAAGCAAAUAAGCAGACCACAGAACUGUUUGCAUUUGCCCCAGAUGCUCCCUGGCUGCGGGAAGAGUUCAAGUGUUCCCAUAUAUGCAGAGCUUGGAACAAUGUCAUCAACUCCUCUUCGUUUUUUUCCAAACAACCUCCUUUAAGACACAGCAAACAGCAGUGCUGCGGAGGUAUGUCUAAUUGCAGAUACUUUUUGUUCAUCAUCGUAUUGAACGUCGUUGCGUGUUCCAGCAGCCAUCAACUUCCUCAGGAGGAAAAUUCAAUUGUGCACUGAGCGACAGCGUGAAGAGACCGGGCCAAGCAGGCAGGGUGCUGCAGGUCAACAAGGUGCUGCUGUGCUCCUGAAGCCUUCAGGAGCCUCAGCCUGAGAGCUCAGGAAAGGGUGGGGCUCCAACCCACCUGGCUUUCCGCCUUACUGAGCUCCAAACACAGGCUUGUUCCACAUCACGGAGAGCCCUUAUCCUGCAUGUGCGUCUCGCUCCCUGACAAGCCUAUUUGUGCCUUGUCACCAGAAAUGUACCUUUUUUCUUCUCUCAUCUGUCCCUGACACCCCCAGCUUAUCUAGCCUGAAGAGAGGCUAUCAAAAUGGUAAUAGCCAGAUGGAAAACAAGGAAAAAUAAGCCCUUUCCCAUAAGGAAGCAAUACGGAUUUUGGAACCGGAGAAAUUUCUACUAUUCUCCCAACAUCAUUCCCUCCGCCUUGGGUGUGCUUCCGAGAGGGUUGGAGGUGUCACCUGCCGUACCCUAGGACUGGCUGAGGGAAAACACACCUGAAGAUUUCCUGUAAAUGAAAAAGUGAAUCACUAAAAGGGGGAGCUGUCAUCCCCUGGCAUUUCUCUGUGCACAGGCGACCUAGUGUUGGGAUGGCAGCAGAACCCAGACAACUGAGCCAACACGUGGAGGGAAGCCCUCACUAGCCUGCAUUCGACUUGUGUGAGAGAGAAGUGAACGUUUACGUGCAAAGCCACUGAGCUUUUGUUGUUGUUCCUGCAGCACAGGGCAUUCUAACCUGCCUAAUACUGAAACGAGUACUGUUAGGCUUGAUCUGUGAAGAGGAGAACAUAAAAGGCCUGCAUAUUCUCUUUUAGGUCCUAAAAAUGCAGUGCUCUCUUCUUGGCCUUGCUGUGACCAGGCUGUUUAAAAUCUGUCACCCCGCCAGUCGCCACUGUAUUAUCUUGCUUUAUUUUUCUUCAUAGUAUUUAUUGAUAAUUUAUGUGCUUAUUAUGUCUCCCUGACUGGAAUGUAAGUUUCAUGAAGGCCAGGACUUGUGCCUUAAAACAGGGCCUGGCACAGAGUAGGCACUUAAUGUGUAUUUUUGAAAGUGAAUUGUGGGCUGAAAAUUCUGAUUUUUCAAAAAAGUUAAUAAAGGUGAAGGCCUUCCUUGCCUUUAUUAAAUGCUUAAAAUGGAUCAGUGGUGGGGUAGAGAUGGAAGGAGUCACACACAUACUGUACCUUCAACGGGUUUCAAUCUAACUGGGAGACAAAAUAUAGAAACAUGAAACAAGCAGAGAGCAAAUCUCUAGGUACCUAAGAGUUAAUUAAGUACUAAGGGUGUACUUAAAUUUGUGAGGGAGGAAGGGGAAGAGGACUGUCCAGAGGUAUGGCUAACUACCAAAAACUCUCUGGAGCAGACAGCUUUGGCAGCAGACUGAGAGCAGGGUUCUCCAAUUUGAGCUUGCAGAAGAAUCACCUGGAAGGCUUCUAAAACCUAUACUAUUGGCCCCACCCCCAGAGUUUCUGAUUCACUAGAUCUGGAUUAUACCUGGGGAUCUUUUUUUUUUUAGACAGAGUCUUGCUCUGUUACCCAGGCUGGAGUGCAGUGGCACUAUCAUAGCUCACUGCAACCUCGAACUCCCCGGUUCAAGGGAUCCUCCCACCUCAGCCUCCCCAGUAACUGGGAUUUCAGGCAUGUGCCACCAAGCCCGGCUAAUUUUUUUUUUUUUUUUUUUGAGAUGGAGUUUCAUUCUUGUUGCCCAGGCUGGAGUGCAAUGGUGCAAUCUCAGCUCACUGCAAUCUCUGCCUCCUGGGUUCAAGUGAUUCUCCAGCCUUGCCUCCUGAGUAGCUAGGAUUACAGGCAUGUGCCACCACGCCCAGCUAAUUUUGUAUUUUUAGUAGAGAUGGGGUCUCACCGUGUUGGCCAGGCUGGUCUUGCACUCCUGACCUCAGGUGAUCCACCCACCUCAGCCUCCCAAAGUGCUGGGAUUACAGGUGCCCACUGCCGUGCCCAGCUUAAUUUCAGUAUUUUUAGUAGAGAUAGGGUUUCUCUAUGUUGGCCAGGCUAGUCUCAAACUCCUGACCUCAGGCGAUCCACCCACCUUGGCCUCCCAAAGUGCUGGGAUUACAGGCCUGAGCCACCACACCUGGCCUCACCUGUAUUUUAAAUUGAGUUUUACUGGGUAACAGCCAUGGUCAUUCAUUUACAUAUUGUCAAAGGCUGCUUUCAAGCUACAACAGCAGAAUUUAACAGUCUCAAGACCAUAUGGCCUGCAAAGCCUAAAAUAUUUACUGGCCCUUUACAGAUAAAGUUUGCUGACCCCUAGAGAGGAAGUCAUGGCCCAUGGCUGGCAGAUGGAAGCCUCAGGACCUGAAGAUUUCUCAAAGAAAGGGACCUGCUGCUGACAGCAAUUAAUAUAUGUUCACAGCUUGCAGCUGAAGCCUGAUGAUGGCUGUAGGAGAAAGGACAUCACCCAGAUGACAUUUUGCCUCCAAAGCUCUGGGGACCAAUUGUGGAAGAACUGCAGGGAUAUUAUGUUAGAAUGUUCUUGUGUCUGGAUAGGAUGAGAACUGUCUUAUAACAAAGUGCAGCCCCCAUGUCUGAGGGCAUGUUUCCUGUGUUUAGGCACUUCCGAAGCAGGGAGCACCUUCAAGGGGCACUGGCCUUCCCAGAAACAGUGUUUGACCUGUGAUGAUGUCCUGGGGGAGGGGACCUAGGAAAAGACCUUAGCCUUUCCAUAAGGCACGAUUAUUCUCCUCUAUAGAGCCUCAAAAGUCAAGUCAAGUAGCAAGCACACUGUGCUCCAGUCUGUGGCCACAGACACACACAAGGACUGGAGCAAAACCAAACAUAGUGUAUCAUCACCGCUGAACCCCCAGGAGCCCCCAGAUGCUUUUGAACGUGAAAGGAGAAAGAAGCUGUCAGAGAUCAGGUUGAAUGUGGUGGGUUAGGUGUGCGGCAUUGCCUCUGGGUCCCUGCUUUGGUUUAAUUAAACUAAGUCUGGUGGUGAAUUGGUUCCCAAAUGUUCAUUGGUGGAUGGGCGGCAUCAGAAUUGUCUACAUCUUUUAAAAAACACGUACGCAAAACCUAUGCAUGUCUUCCUCUGAGAGUUUGAUUUUCAGCAGGCUUGGGGUGGAUUCCUACUUUUAAGAACUCCCCACGCCCGUCCUAAGUGAUUGUGAUUCCCAGUAAGUGAAUGCUGACAAAUUGAACCUUCCAGCAUGGACAUUUAUUUAUGAAAUAAAUGGACAUUAAUUUCACAGUCUUUCUAUGGAUUCGAGGUGGUGCUGGAUCCACAGGCUCACCUGGCCCCCUAGCUUUCUCUGCAGAAUCUGCCAGUGUGCCUUCAAUCCCAAAAGAAGUCGCUUUUCAUGUGCUGCUGGAGCUUUUGAUUGGCGGUGACUGAGAUGGGACUUUAAGUUCUCACCAGGAUGCAAAGUGGGGUUCCAACUUUACUGCUUUCUGAACCCUGCUGAUCUGUCCCCAACCAAGGCUUGAUUUUCUUCUGAAGCGCAGUAUUUUUAAACUGUGGUUGAAAUCUAUUCAUGGGCUAUAAAAUCAGUUGUUGAGGAUGUAACCAUUUUGAAUUAAUUUUUAAUUCAAAAAAUUAGACUAGAAAUUUUUAAUUUUAAUUCAAAAAAUAGACUAGAAAAAAAUCAGAGUGCAUCAUGUAUGGUAGGGAUAAGUGUAAUUCUUUCUGUAAAACUUGUUUUGGAGGGUAUGUUGUGCAUUGGGCUUCUGUGUAUUUCUUACUACGUUUCACAGGGAAACUGCUGUCAUCUCUGCAGUACAAUAUAGAUCAACAAUGGCCCUAACUUCCCUAAGACAGCUCUCAUGUCUGCUUGCAGAGAACAGAUGGAAAAAGUCACCAGGGAGGGUAGAUUGCCAUAUACAAGUACUUCAGGGAGGCUACCUGGAAACUAAUAGAAAACCAGUUUAUGGAUGAUUGCAGAGCCUGGGGAGAGAAAUCAAUCUUGGACAGUUUUAUGGAUGGCAGCCAACAGCCUACCAUGCUCAGCCCAUCGCACCUGUCACCUGGGGACAAGCAGGGUCUAUCUGGAACGGACUCUGGCCAGGAUUCAGUUUCUCUUUCCUCGAAAUGGGGAUAAUCACCCUCUUGACUAUUGCUGUUAUGGGAAAGGCCAAAUUAGGGGAAAAAAAUUCUGUCCAAUAAGGGAUGAACCACAAAGCUCAGGCCAGUAAUGGCCUCUAUUGGUGGUUUGGGAGGUAUGCUUGUAUGGGCAUUAAGGGAGAAAGAGAAGGUCUGCACUCUAAUCAAGUCUAGGCAAUGUGGGAGUUGGAAAGAGACACAUGGGAACACAGACCCAGUCACCUGAAGGCAAGAGCCUUUCUUUUUCCUCCUCUUGGCAGGCAGCGUGGGCUCCCGGGCCCCAAGCAGGAUCCCUUAGGGCUGAUCUCUUACCACACACUGGUCUGACUUGGUGACCUGGAAGAGGACAGUCAGAGCCAACAGGAUGAGGGGACCAGCUUGGAGAGCAUCUAUUGUAUGCCACCCUUGAGUGGCUGGAAAUGUCUUCUGCCACUUUGCAAGGGGCUGGGGGCUGGGGAGUGGGAGUGGCAAGGGAACACGGGGUGGUAGAUUGUUCCCAGGGCUGCUGGUUUUGGAGCAGUCUGACUACCCUCUCUUCUUAGUGGGAAAGAAAGGAGGAAGAAGGGGGAAGGGAUGCUUUUGGAGGGGAGCUCUAAGGGUGGGAGAAAAGAAAGCCUGAAAGAACAUCACUAAAGGGUCUGAAGUUAAAGACUCCAAUGAACAAGAAGCCCCUAAUUCAAACAGUGCCACUAACACCAAAACCUGUAAAGUGGUCCAGAGAGACCCUGGUCAUGUCUGUAACUUUCCUUUUUAAAGCUCUCGUGAAGUUAAUGAAUGAAAAAAUUGCUAAUGCAAAGAUGGAAAUUAAUAAAAACAAAAGCGUGCUUCAUAUUGCAGGGUGACCACCUCUAAUCCUACCAGUGAUCCUGUGGCUGUCCCUGUAACUUCCUUUGGCAACACCAUGCUUUGAGAAGCUGUGGGGAAGGCUGGCCAGGGAGAGAGCCUCACCCCCCAAUUCUGCCAGCUGAUCCCCCAGAGGGCUGCAAGGCUCCUGAUUUACCCAGACCUCUGGAGUGGCUGAGGCUGGGCUCUGGGGUUGGAUGGUUCUCACCAAGAGGCCUGGGACAUCUGCUCUGUGCUAAGCUCCGAGGCAGACCACAGAGGAGAUAAUGACUAAUCGGACCUUCACAUACAUUGUACAUGCCUUUUCUGAACUGAAAAAGAGAAGAACAAACAAGAUAAAAAUAUUGAAAAAAAAGAAGAAUCAAAUGUGUAGAAAAUGCAAGGUCAUUAGAACUGCCCAGGGCUUCAUUCAGGCAAAGAUCUUGAGGGUCUGGCCAGGGACCUGCUGAGUAAAUCUAGCUCUGGUUCCCCUCCCACAGAUUCCCUGCGCCUCCUCCAACUGCAUAACCAAAUCUCCCCACCUCCCAACUUUCCUUGAGCUAUUCUGCUGUUUUCUUCACUUUAGUUUUCUCACUGUAACCC
rnacentral:lncRNA from 10 species